rnacentral:rRNA from 1 species
AUGGUUAUAGUCACUGAUCGGGAUCCUAUUUUGACAAGCACUUUGUGGCAGGAGUUGUGCAAAUUAACUGACACAAAGAUGAACAUGAGUUCUGCCAGUCAUCCAAAAACUGAUGGUCAGUCUGAGAAACUCAACAGUGCCUGGAAACAUUUCUACGGUGCAUGGUACACUCUGCUCCAAAGAAAUGGGCUUAUUGGCUGCCCCAGGCAGAGUACUGGUACAAUACUAACCACCACUCAGCUUUGGGCAAAACACCAUUUCAAGUUCUCUAUGGAUACCAACCCAAACACUUCGGCAUUGCCAAUCUCCAGAGCUCACUGUCAUCUGAUCUGUCAGGGUGGCUAG